AACGAACGCUGGCGGCAUGCCUAACACAUGCAAGUCGAACGAUCCCUUCGGGGAUAGUGGCGCACGGGUGCGUAACGCGUGGGAACCUGCCCUUAGGUUCGGAAUAACUCAGAGAAAUUUGAGCUAGUACCGGAUAAUGUCUUCGGACCAAAGAUUUAUCGCCUUUGGAUGGGCCCGCGUUGGAUUAGCUAGUUGGUGGGGUAAAGGCCUACCAAGGCGACGAUCCAUAGCUGGUCUGAGAGGAUGAUAAGCCACACUGGGACUGAGACACGGCCCAGACUCCUACGGGAGGCAGCAGUGGGGAAUAUUGGACAAGGGGCGAAAGCCUGAUACAGCAAUGCCGCGUGAGUGAUGAAGGGCGUAGGGUUGUAAAGCUGUUUUACCCGGGAUGAUAAUGACAGUACCGGGAGAAUAAGCCCCGGCUAACUCCGUG
rnacentral:rRNA from 1 species